UUGCUCUCCUUGCCCAGGGACUCUUGGCAGGAACCCAAAAUGAUCUGCGGGAGGUGAGUGGGCCGGGGGGAUUGGAGGGCAUCCAGUCUGGGAACUGGGGGACACUUUGGUCCCCCCAUCCCUCGCUGGCACCGGGGACAUCCCAGUGACCAGCCAGGGCUCCUGGUCUCUCUGCAGCUGGAUUUAGGGGACGUUGGGAUCCUGAAGACGGCUCAGGACCCCCCAGUGCUCCUGGGCAGGACCACACAAACUCCUGGACCCUGUUUCUGCCCAGAGGCACCUUCCCCAAGGACCCCAUUGCUUGCCCCUGGCUCCCAGUACAUCCCAGUUCAGCCCAGUGUGUCUCUGAGCCUGUCUUUCUCCCCAGCCCCCUGUGGUUGAGAAGGUGGUGGGGCUUGUUCGUGAGAAACGUGUGGCUGCAUCCCUGGAUGUCUGAGGACUGGAAGUGGUGGUGACACCUGUGUCCUGUCUCUCUCCAGUGGCAUGAG